rnacentral:lncRNA from 1 species
UUCCUUUCUUUCUUUCUUUCUUUCUUUCUUUCUUUCUUUCUUUCUUUCCUUCUUCUUUCUUUCUUGUUUAUUGAAAAUACAAGAUACACUCCCCCUUCAAAAUACAACAAUCAAAUAUGAAGAAAACAGUAUACAGAAACAAAAGACAAAUACCUCCCCCCCACACACACACACUCAUAUGAUGCUCAUGAUUUUCUGCUAUAUUUUUGUUUAUUAAAAAUGCAUAUUUUGGGCUGGGGAUAAAUAAAUAUUGUAAAAAGAGAGAAAAUACAAAAUUUUCUCUCAUACAAUAAAUCCUGACCACAGUUUUCCCUCCCUCUACUUCUCCACCCACAUCCAAUCUUUACAAGAUACACUCUUCCUCUGUUUCCCUUUAAAAAAAAAAGAGUAGGUCUCUAAAAGACAAUAAAUAUGAAAACAAAACAGGAUACAAUAAGAAAAAACAAGUGCCCUCAAGGCAAUCCAGUAGAAGGAAACAAGUCUCAAGAGCAGGCAAAAGAAUCAGAGAUACCCGUGCUCCCCCUGUUAGAAGUCGCACAAAGCCACAAAAGUAACAGCCAUAACAUACACAGAGGACCUGGUGCAGACCCAUGCAGACUCUGUGCUUGCUGCUUCGGUCUCUAUGAGCCCAAUGAGCCGUGCUCAGUUGAUUCAGUGGGCCAUGCUCUCCUGGUAUCCUCCAUCAUCUCUGACUCCUCCCCCUCUUUCAAGAGUUCCCUGAGCUCCAACAGGAAAGGACCAAUGGAGACAUCCAGUUUAAACUCUCUCUCCACAUAAUAUCUGUCUGUGAGUCUCUGCACCACCUGUUCUCACCUCCAGCCAGAGAAAGCCAUUCUGAUGACUAAAUAAAGCACCAAUCUUGUAAUUUCAUUCUCAGGUCUUGAACAGUUUUAUUCAUUUCCUUUAACUGUUUGGUUGUUUCUCUUAGCUUUCUUUGAGUGAUGUAUUCAUUCCCUCCAAUUAUUUGUUUGUGUUUUCCUGGAUUUCUUUGAGGGAUGUAUUGAUUUCCUUUUAAGGACCUUUAUCAUCUUUGUAUAGCUGGUUUUAAGAUCUUUUUUCUUGGAGUUCAGCUAUCUUGGAAUAUUCAGGACCUGCUGUAGUGGGCUAGCUGGGCACUGGUGGAGUCAUUUCACUUGCUGUUAUUGAUUGUGUUAUUACACUGGUGUUUACAUGUCUAGAUGUCUGCAUUCUAGGUACUGAUUUCUGGGUUUGUGUUUAUUGUGUUUUUCUGUUCUUUGGUUUGUUUCCUCUCUGGAUUUUUAGAGAGUGGUUGGGAAUGUGUUGCCUGUUUUACUAGCCUGCUCUGCUGGUGUGUGCAUAUGGGGCAGGAUGCUUGCUGGUGUGGAGGCUGGAGGAAGGGAAGAAUAUAAUCUGUGGGAUCCACAGGAGGCAUAAACUGGGGGACGAGGACUGCUGCUGGCAUUCAGUCUCGGUGCUACUGGUUAGAAGUUUUUAUUUGAGGGAACAGAGAGUGUGAAGAUCCACAGACAACCUCUCAUUGGUUUAUUUUCUACCCUAUGAAAAUAUAUCAGUAAGGUUAUCUUUAUGCAACCUGGAAGAACCUGAGCAUGCAAGCCCCCUGGUUUUGAAAUAUCUCCACUGUGAAAAAUAAAUAUCUGAUGCUUGAGCCACUCAACCUAUGAGAAGCUGUAGCAACAGCCCUAAUAGAUUAACAUGCUCAGUAUCUGUUUCGGGAAGCAGCAUCCUUUCUCUUUGCAAGAAGAUCUUGGCUACAAAGGCCAAUGGUUCCUUGAAAUGUCUACAGCCUCAUCUGCCUGAUUAAAGGUUAAUUCCAAUAUUAAUUAAUCAUUCCUCAUUUCAUUUCUUUUCAAACAUUUUCAUAGUGUAGAUAAUGAGGAGAAGUCAUCUCCUUUGAAAAGUCAGACAAGAACCAACAUGGUAGAGAAAUUAAUCUAAAAUUGUUGCAAUUUAAACUAUUAAGUGGGCUGAUACUGGCAGUUUCAUUUGGGAAUUCAAGAUUUCUCUGUUUCUCUAAAGGCAGAAGAAAGCAUUGGUUUACUGGACAGACUUUUCAAAGUUAAAAAGAAAAUUAACUAACUAUUGUAUUCAUGUCUUCAAAGUAGUGCUUGUAGAACUCAGGCUUUAUAGUUGAAAAUUAGAAGUAGCUAAUGAAAUUCUAGUGUUAAUAGGGACUCUCUGGCUUGCACAAAUUCACACAGUUCCUCAGAAAUAUAUUUAGCUGGACUAAGUUCCUGAAAGAUUUCAGAUGCAUUCUGUUUGGUCAUUACUGCUCCUUGGCCUUGAUAGUAAGUGAUGUUGGCUCUGGGUAGGUAUAAGACAUCGAGAAGUCAAGAGCAAAGAUAGGUAGGAGAAUCAUAACUGAGUCAUAGAGGUAUUUUUAAAACAAACAAACAAAAACAAAACAAAACAAGAGCACCAAAAAAACAAAAACAAAACAAAAACAAAACAAAAACAAAAACAAACAAACAAACAAAAAAACCUACUGCUUGAAGCAGGUACUGUAGAUUAGAGAAAUCUGGAAAGCGAACCCUGAAUGGAAAACCCUGGGAGAGCAAGUUGAGUAAUGCAUACCUUAGAAAGAGCAACUAUACUUGUUUGUUGAUUUUUUUUAACUUUUUGAAACAGCAUGUCUUACUACAUAGUUUUGGCUAGUCCCUAACUUUGUAUGUAUACCAAGCUGGUUUAAAACUUUGGAAGAUCAUUUUGCCUUGUACUCUGAAUGCUAGCCUUGUGUACCACCAUGCCCAGCUCCAGUGGGCUUUUUACUCCCUUCAACUAAAUCCUUGUUUUAUAGGAGCAACUGCGAAAUCAAAAGGAAUUUGGUUGGAAGGUUUAUGGACUUGGUUCUUAUCAUAUUGUGUUUGAAUUGCUUAUUAGCCAUCUAUGUGGAGGUGUCAGGUAGUCAAUUGAACAAGUUAGUGGAAGUGUGAACUAGAGAUAUAGCACACAUAAUCUUUCAAACUGUUGGCUUGAUUAAAGUUAUGUGAAAGGGAAAAAUAUGAAUACUGUAAAAUAGACUGAGAUGAAAAUUCCAGUGAGAUAAAAACACAUGUAAAUGCAUAAAGUGUUCAAGAAACCAAGGGAAGAGUAGAUCAUAUCAAAGAUGAAGUAAUUGUUCAUAGUAUGUUCUACUGUGAGCUAAAGGAAAAGUUUGGAAGAAUAAGUAUCUAAUCAUUUGACUGCAUGAGGAUUGUUAAUGAUUUUGACAGAAUUCUUAUCUCUAGGAUCUGUAGGAUGAAAAUAGAUCAGUGUGAGCACAGUUUAUAAAAAGUAGACUGCAAAUAAUGGCUAUUGACUUAUAAAAGAGAUUUUGCUGUGAAGCAGUGAUAUCAAAUGGAGAAGCGAGGUGGUACAAAACUGUUUAUAUGUUGGACAUGCCUAUUGGUUGUUGAAGAUGGUUCUACAGAG